UCUACGCUAGUCAGAAGCUGAAGUCGCACCAGUUAUCCUACUCUACGAUCGAGAAGGAAUGUUAUGCUAUAGUCUGGGCGGUCCAGAAGUUCCAAAGGUAUUUAUAUGGAAAAGAGUUCCUACUGGAGACCGCCCACCAACCUCUGGUUUAUCUAAGCCACGCCAAGGUAUCUAAUGCUCGUUUAAUGAGGUGGGCAUUGUUAUUGCAACCAUACAGAUUCCGGAUCAUCGCAAUUAAAGGUUCUGAGAACGUCGGUGCAGACUGUCUAAGUAGACUGUAAAUAUGUUACAGUACAUUUUGUGUAUAUUUUAUUGACAUUUUUUUUAUUGAUUGUGUUUUUUUAUCAAAAGUUUAUAAAACUUUCUUGGAUAGGGAGAUAUUGUCACAAUCAAUAGAUUUAUUCAUUCUUACUAUUUUCCUAUAGGGUACCUCUGAUUUUUAUUCUAUGUUCAUAUCCUUUUUGGUGCCUCAGAUUUUGUCAAUUCAGGUAUUGGUCAAUAUUGGACUAUACUCGGACUGUUCUAUUUGUUUACUAUGAUGCUAUAAAUACCCAUGUUUUGGUCAGUGAGCCGGGGUCCAUUAGCACGCACUGCAGUAGUAACACGAUGUAUAGCUAAGUGUAUUUUUUACGGUAACCAUCUCCAUUAGGGGUUCCAGCAAGGCUCCAGCAAUGUCCCAGUGAUGAUUCGGCCAUAGUCACCAGUGUUCCGGUAUUGAACAUCUUACCACCCGUGCAACCUCCUUCGAGUAUUCACUUACUACGCUGGAAGCCGGUGGACGGAAGCCGUCAUCUUAGGACGUGGUACCGAAGGAGGACACAUUGGAGGAACACUGGAGGGACACUGCUGUCCAAUAUACCACCAUAGGACAUUGACGAAUCAGAUAUUAGAAACAUUUUUUUUUGUUAAUAUUUUGUGUGUGUGUGAAUGUGUAUAUUUGUAAAUUUAUUGAUUUUAUAUAUAGAUAAAGAUUGUAAAUACUUA